CAGGUCAGUACAUCUCUGUAAUUUUUGUUUGAAGAAUCUACACCUCCCUGUAAUUUACUAUUUUAGACUUCUACAUGCUUUCAGCCCUUUUUUUUGACAGCUUUGUCAUCAUUAAUUUUAUGGUGAUGGUUUUUCUUGCUGCCCUUGAUUCUUGGAUUUUAGUUGCGCUUAGAUGGUGGAAUGAGCAGGUCAGUCAUUGGCUCGUCUGAACAUGAAGGAUUCUUGGCUAGUUUGGUGGACAUUAUUCCUUAAUGUGCAUUUGAGUAAAUAAAAAUUGGAUGCCUGUCGCGUAUAACCCAUAAAAUACUCAUGGUUCUUCUUAGAAUGACGGGUGAAGUUAUUUUUGUUGCCAGUAAAAAUCCUAGGAGCAUACCAAAAUUCUAAGGUAUCUGAAUUGCGAUAAAAUAGAGUAGAGAUACUUGUUGUCUUAUGCUCUGAUUUUAUUCAUCUCAUUUAAGCAUAAAACUUUGGUGAUGUUUUGCCUAAUACCAGGUGUGCAAGAAAUAAAAAAAUGUUCGGAUCUCUUGUUAUUAUGUUGAGAUGUUGGUGUAGAUGAGUGGUAAGGUAUGCUUAUAUUAUGCAUUACAUGAAAACUUGAAGGCUGCAAGAGAGGGUGAAGAACAAAGAAUUUGAAUUUGUCAACAGUACGGAGCAAUAUGGUUUCAACAUGCUGCAUAUGAUGAGGGCGAUCAACGGCAAAAAAACUGUUGAUUGAUAUGGUGAGAAAUGAAGUAAUGUUGUGCUAUUUCUUGAAGGGCACAAUAUAUAGAGGCAUCCUCGUAUUUGGACAGAAACUUAGUUGAUUGUUUAUCCCAUGACUACCUUGGGAGAGGAAAUAAAAAAGAAAAUAUUUGGUUAAUUUCAUAUAAGCGUCAAGCAUUGUGCCCUGCUGCUUGUACUGGGUCCUGUUUGCAUUAAUAAGUUCAUGAAAAUGGAUAAAUUACCUGUGGCUGGAAACCUCAUAUGCAUUUCUCUUAGAUUCUCUUCACUCCUAGUCUGGCACUUUACAUGAUUCUUAUUAUUAUAGGCUGCUGCUUGGGUCAUCCUUGGAAUAUUUUCAAUUAAAAGGUUUGAGGCUGAUUAUGUCCUUGUAGUUGCUGUUUGUGGAAGCCUCAGCAUAGCAAACAUUGCUGGAUUCACCAAGUGCCGCAAAGAUGCCAAGAAGCAAAUUCAAGGAUUUGCAUCCCAGGCUCUUGCGUCUCAUUUCACAUCUUCCAUACCAUCUGCACCUGGUGCAGUGUAAGUCGUCUAAACAGAAAUUAUCCAGAUAUAUUACGUCUUUCUGUUUCUGUGAUGGCCACUUGCGGAUAAGUAUGAAAGUACAGUCAUUUUGGAAUUUCCGAAUCCCUUUUAUUUAAAAAAAAAUACACAAAGACAUGAAUAUCAUAUGAAAAUUGUUCUGUGAUUCGACAAUUGUUCUGUGAUUCUCAAAGAGUUUUUAGCUAGCAUUAAACAUCUUAGUUUCCAAAAUGGAUUGUUUCCAAAAUCUCAUUCACUUGAAUGCAUGGCAAGGGAUAUAUUCAUGAAACACUAUGAUUCUUCUUUACUGAGUCAGCCUAAGAGGUCUUACUUUAUGGCAGCCACUAUAAAGUUCCUUAGAAGAAAAGUACAAAAAGGAUCAUGGGCUGUAAAUGUUGUACAGCUUUUAAAAAGAAUUAAAGGCAAAUUUGGUUUUGGUGGGGUUACAUUCAGCGAGCGAAUAAUGGAAUUAGUGGUGGACUGACUAAACAGAACUUCUGUGAAAAUGUAAUGCUUUUAGGCACUAAUUGCGGUGUUAAG